GACGAACGCUGGCGGCGUGCCUAAUACAUGCAAGUUGAGCGAUGAAGCUUGGUGCUUGCACCCAUUUGAAGAGCAGCGAACGGGUGAGUAACGCGUGGGGAAUCUGCCUUUGAGCGGGGGACAACAUUUGGAAACGAAUGCUAAUACCGCAUAACAACUUUAAACAUAAGUUUUAAGUUUGAAAGAUGCAAUUGCAUCACUCAAAGAUGAUCCCGCGUUGUAUUAGCUAGUUGGUGAGGUAAAGGCUCACCAAGGCGAUGAUACAUAGCCGACCUGAGAGGGUGAUCGGCCACGUUGGGACUGAGACACGGCCCAAACUCCUACGGGAGGCAGCAGUAGGGAAUCUUCGGCAAUGGACGAAAGUCUGACCGAGCAACGCCGCGUGAGUGAAGAAGGUUUUCGGAUCGUAAAACUCUGUUGGUAGAGAAGAACGUUGGUGAGAGUGGAAAGCUCAUCAAGUGACGGUAACUACCCAGAAAGGGACGGCUAACUACGUG
rnacentral:rRNA from 1 species